rnacentral:rRNA from 1 species
AUUGAACGCUGGCGGCAGGCCUAACACAUGCAAGUCGAACGAGCGGCGGACGGGUGAGUAAUGUCUGGGAAAAUGCCUGCAGGAGGGGGAUAACUACUGGCAACGGUAGCUAAUACCGCAUCCCAGCAGUGGUGCCCUGAUGGGAGUAGCUAGUGGGUGGGGUAAUGGCUCACCUAGGCGACGACCCCUAGCUGGUCUGAGAGGCGGACCAGCCACACUGGAACUGAGACACGGUCCAGACUCCUACGGGAGGCAGCAGUGGGGAAUAUUGCACAAUGGGCGCAAGCCUGAUGCAGCCAUGCCGCGUGUGUGAAGAAGGCCUUCGGGUUGUAAAGCACUUUCAGCGAGGAGGCGUUACUCGCAGAAGAAGCACCGGCUAACUCCGUGCCAGCCGCCGCGGUAAUUC